CAGCUAGUUGGUAGGGUAACGGCCUACCAAGGCGACGAUCCGUAGCUGGUCUGAGAGGACGACCAGCCACACUGGGACUGAGACACGGCCCAGACUCCUACGGGAGGCAGCAGUGGGGAAUAUUGGACAAUGGGGGCAACCCUGAUCCAGCGACGCCGCGUGUGUGAAGAAGGCCUGCGGGUUGUAAAGCACUUUUAGUGGGGAUGAAAAGCUCAGGGUUAAUACCUCUGGGUCUUGACCUAACCCAAAGAAAAAGCACCGGCUAACUCUGUGCCAGCAGCCGCGGUAAUACAGAGGGUGCAAGCGUUAAUCGGAAUUACUGGGCGUAAAGCGUGCGUAGACGGUUAGAUAAGUCGGGUGUGAAAGCCCCGGGCUCAACCUGGGAAUUGCAUUCGAGACUGUUUACUAGGGUGCGGAAGAGGGAAGCGGAAUUUCAGGUGUAGCGGUGAAAUGCGU
rnacentral:rRNA from 1 species